rnacentral:rRNA from 1 species
GUGGGGAAUCUUAGACAAUGGGGGAAACCCUGAUCUAGCCAUGCCGCGUGAGCGAUGAAGGCCUUAGGGUUGUCAAGCUCUUUCAGCUGGGAAGAUAAUGACGGAACCAGCAGAAGAAGCCCCGGCUAACUCCGUGCCAGCAGCCGCGGUAAUACGGAGGGGGCUAGCGUUGUUCGGAAUUACUGGGCGUAAAGCGCGCGUAGGCGGACCAGAAAGUUGGAGGUGAAAUCCCAGGGCUCAACCUUGGAACUGCCUUCAAAACUCCUGGUCUGGAGUUCGAGAGAGGUGAGUGGAAUUCCGAGUGUAGAGGUGAAAUUCGUAGAUAUUCGGAGGAACACCAGUGGCGAAGGCGGCUCACUGGCUCGAUACUGACGCUGAGGUGCGAAAGCGUGGGGAGCAAACAGGAUUAGAAACCCGAGUAGUCC